UGGGGAAUAUUGCGCAAUGGGGGAAACCCUGACGCAGCAACGCCGCGUGAUUGAAGAAGGCCUUCGGGUUGUAAAGAUCUUUAAUUAGGGACGAAAAUUUGACGGUACCUAAAGAAUAAGCUCCGGCUAACUACGUGCCAGCAGCCGCGGUAAUACGUAGGGAGCAAGCGUUAUCCGGAUUUACUGGGUGUAAAGGGCGAGUAGGCGGGCUGGUAAGUUGGAAGUGAAAUCUGGGGGCUCAACCCCAAACUGCUUUCAAACUGCUGGUCUUGAGUGAUGGAGAGGCAGGCGGAAUUCCGUGUGUAGCGGUGAAAUGCGUAGAUAUACGGAGGAACACCAGUGGCGAAGGCGGCCUGCUGGACAUUAACUGACGCUGAGGAGCGAAAGCGUGGGGAGCAAACAGGAUUAGAUACC
rnacentral:rRNA from 1 species